rnacentral:rRNA from 1 species
ACGAACGCUGGCGGCGUGCUUAACACAUGCAAGUCGAACGGAAAGGCCCUGCUUUUGUGGGGUGCUCGAGUGGCGAACGGGGGAGUAACACGUGAGUAACCUGCCCUUGACUUUGGGAUAACUUCAGGAAACUGGGGCUAAUACCGGAUAGGAGCUCCUGCUGCAUGGUGGGGGUUGGAAAGUUUCGGCGGUUGGGGAUGGACUCGCGGCUUAUCAGCUUGUUGGUGGGGUAGUGGCUUACCAAGGCUUUGACGGGUAGCCGGCCUGAGAGGGUGACCGGCCACAUUGGGACUGAGAUACGGCCCAGACUCCUACGGGAGGCAGCAGUGGGGAAUAUUGCACAAUGGGCGGAAGCCUGAUGCAGCAACGCCGCGUGCGGGAUGACGGCCUUCGGGCUGUAAACCGCUUUCGCCUGUGACGAAGCGUGAGUGACGGUAAUGGGUAAAGAAGCACCGGCUAACUACGUG